GGAAUCGGCGCCGGAUUGAUUCCCGGGAACGUGGAUCGCUCCCUCUUCACUGAAGUCUUUCGUGUCAAAUCUGAAGAUGCUAUGAAAAUGGCUCGCCGGCUCGCCGACGAGGAAGCGAUUCUCGGUGGAAUCUCAUCUGGAGCGAAUGUGGUCGCUGCCGUCGAACUGGCACGUCGUCCGGAAAACAUUGGAAAAUUGAUUGUGACCACUGUGAAUAGUUUUGCUGAGAGAUAUUUGUGAGUUUUAGUAUUAUAUAUUUUUAGUUUCAAAAAAUAGACAUUUUCCAGCUCCACCGAACUCUACUCAACACUGCUCAGCGAGGUGUCCAAACUGCCAAUAUCGACAGAUGAGCAAGCUGUGGAAAUUGCGAAAAAGUACUUGGGACUGUAACUCUUUUCUAGACAUUGAAGUGAUCACUUUUAUUGUUUGGUAAUGAAAUAAAACCAAUAAAUUUAUGUACAAAAAAUCGAUAAUCAGGCUGUUGUCUCCACGCCUCGGUAUGCAUUCUCAGCUCCAUUUCUAACAGCAGUUCCUGCAUUUUUUAACUGCAUUCACGCCUGAAAGCUUUCAUUUUUUGUUGAUGGCUCAACUGUUGUAUAAUUAGUACCAAGUUGUCCUAUUUUACUCGCAGGUUCCCACGCACUGCUACCGGCGUUUUCUGCAGUAUUCGCUGCAGAUUCUCCGGCACGAAGAGUCUCUGAUGCAACAUACCAAAAAACUUCUGUAUCUACAAUUUUAUACUCACAUUUCAAAAUUGAGAACAAAAGAGCAAAAAGUUGAAAAGUCGACCGUCCAAAUGCUAUGGGACAUCCUGACUAGGAAUCCGUCAGAAGGUGCCCGUGCGAGAUGGACUAAAAUUAUUUGCGAAAAAAUCUGUUUAGUAAUAGGGCCCAGAAAAUUUAUAUACCUACUAACAACUUAUUUUGUAGCAAUCAGAUCAUGCAUUCUUUUUAAUAUUCGAAAAAAAAUUGUUUAAAAAAAACAAAAGGGUAAGGGAACAUCCCAAACCAAAGGUCACCAUGGGAGAAUGGACCGGAGCCGGAUGCCACACCAACUUCUCCACCGCCGAAAUGCGUGCUCCAGGUGGAAUCGCUGCGAUUGAAGCCGCCAUGGCAGGACUCAAACGGACACAUUUGGAGGCGAUGAAGGUGUACGAUCAGCAUGGUGGAGAAGACCACGUUAGACAGGACGUCAUGAGACAAGCUCGGCUGACAAAUUCUCCUGGGGAGUCUCCAAUCGUGGAUGCUCAAUCCGUAUUCCGAGACAGGUGGCUGCAGAGAGAAUGGGAUAUUUGGAGGAUCGUCGUCCGUCGUCAAACUUUGAUCCUUAUCAAGUGACUGCAAUGAUUGCACAGAGCAUUCUUUUCUAAAAUGAUACUGUCUUAUCUAUCCAGAAUAAAAGUACAUAUGGGUGGGGUGAUUUAUUCGAAUGAAAUAAAAUAUUUAUGAUAAUAUAAUGAAUAUUUUUCUGUUUAAUUGUUAUUUAAGAUUAAUUAUGCUGCACGGUGUGGAUUUUUCAACAAAAAUUCAAAAAAAACAUGUUCCAAAAUUAAAUUCGCAUUUAAUCAUUCACGUAAAAGUUGUCAUUCAUCGUUAUUUUUUUCGUUUUUGGGUGUUUUGUUUCAGCAUUUUUCAGCCUGUUUUUGAUUUUUUUUUUAGAUUUUAAGAAAUAUUAUCAAUAUUGAACAUAUUUUCAGCUACUGAAAUUAUUCAGAAACUUGGAAAGCACAUGUGGAAAACUUCAUCGACAAAGUUGGAUCAAGGAACGAUUAUUUGGAGCUCGUCAAAAACCAGAUAAUUUUUAAAUCGUGUUCACAUUGUUUUUUUUAAGUUUGAGAAAUAAAUUUUACACUUUUUCCGAUCUCUAAACUUCGAAAAAAUCAUUCAACUUUUCUACCAGAACAUCAAAAUUUCCGGAAACUGCAAUAUUUGAAAGGAUUACGAUGGAAAUUGAGUCGAAAUUGUGUUUAUGGAUGGUGAAAAUCCGUGUUCAGCAAUUUUUUCGAUUAAAUUUAUCAAAUUAUGAGAAAUUACCAUAUUUUCUAUGAAUAACCAUGAUAAAUGUUAAUUUUCUUCUUUUUUAUAUUUUAAAUUGAUAUUCUAUAUCAAAUAUUUGAAAAAUAAAUGGAUAUUUCUCGAUAUUCGUUCGAAAAAGCUCGAUCGAGCUCGUGGGAUAAUUGACGAAUUGUCGUCAAAUUAAAUGCGCGUACGCAAAGUACGCAAUAGUGUACAAAACUUCUUCGCGUUGAAUAUUCAGUCGCGACUAGUCAGCCAAAUGGGACUACUGUAGAAAUUUCCUCGGCCACGUUCCAAACGCCGCUCCGUGUAACCAAUUCAGGAAAAAUUGUCGAAAACGUGUAGUUCUACAAAUUAUAGAAUUCUGUGAAUUUUUCACGUUUUUUACAACAUGACAGAAAACCACGUGUUUGAAAACAGAUAUUUUCGAUUCCCGUGACACGUAGUUUUUCUCUCCAAUUCUCAGAAAAGAUUUAUUCUUCAAUAAGUUUUGCAAGGUGGACGGUUGCCCACUAUACAAAUUGCGAUGAACGUCUCGGACCCAUCAAAAAACGAAUAUUCCAAGGUUUGUUUGAAUUUGAAUGAAAUAAAUAGAAUUUCGCAAUAAAAUGAUUGCUUUUCAGGAAAUUCGUCGCACCGUCUCAUCGGAAAUUAUCGGUCAAUCAAGAAGUCCGAUGACUCUGGAAAACCAACCGGUGUCUCCGAUGACAAAGCGGCGAAGACUCGAGAACAUGGAUCGUACGAUCACUGAACAAAUGGUGGAAGAUGAGAUCGUGGCAACGGCCAUUUCACCGCCAUCACAGCCAAAAAACGUGGUCGUGCCAAUCCCGCAGGAUUUCGCUGCGAUGCUGACGAACAGCUGGACUAAACCGAUUCGCGGGCCGAUGACGGAGAAGAAAAAGCUCAAAAUCAAUGAGACUUUUAACAAACUGACGCAACAGCUUGCCGAGUUCGUAAACUUUUUAAUUCAUUUCUAAUUGUAAGAAAAAAUUGAGCCCGCGAUCAACGAGCGAAAGACUUGUGAAAAUUGAAAUAAUAUAUAUUAACUAUCAAUAAACACAAGCAUUUUUCAGCGCAACUCACACGAUCCCAGCUGAAACCGACCUCACGGAGACGCCCGACGGCUUCCUUGUCGAUCUCAUGCCCCAUCAGAAAGCAGGACUUUGCUGGCUCCUUUGGCGAGAGAGUCAACCACAUUCCGGUGGAAUUCUCGGUGGUGAUAUGGGUCUUGGCAAGACCCUAUCAAUGAUUUCAUUGAUUGUGCAUCAGAAGGCGGCGAGAAAAACACGGAAAGAUGCGGGAGACGAUGCAGUGGGCAAGGAGAAGUGGAAAGCUGCGAAGGAAACAGAAUUGUAUCCAUCAGAUUGCACCGGAAUCUUUGGUUCAUCACUGGGAAGCUGAAAUUGCUAGAAGACUUAAACAAGAUCUACUUUCUGUUCUAGUAUACCAUGGAAACAGGAGACACAUUAAUCCGAAAGAUCUUAAGAAGCACAUCGAGUUGGAUUAUGAUUUGGGUGAGAAUUCUGAGCCCGCCUAAUUUAAAACCUGUUUUCGAAUUGCAGAGCAGCAUUUUUGAAGCUAUAUUAUCUAAAAAAAAUUUUCACUGAAAUUUAAUUAUUUUUUCCAGAAGACGAGCACAAUCCCUGCAGCAAGCUUCGGCCCCGUGUCUGUCCCAAAGCUGACAAAAACUCCUCUCCACUUGCUCGCAUCGCUUGGUCUUAUGUGAUCCUCGACGAGGCGCAUAUCAUCAAAAAUCGAAACGCCCAAUGCUCAGAGGCAGCCUGCAAGAUCUCAGCAUUUUCACGCUGGUGUCUCUCGGGCACACCGAUUCACAAUAAUAUGAGACGAAAGAAAAUAGUCCACUUGAUGGAGAAGAAUAUUGUGAUCCACAAGUUGGAGAUGGUCGGUCAGGAAGCUAAAGGAUUUGCAAUGAUGAUGGAAGCAGCUCGUAAGCUUGUCGAGGAAAUCUUUGGAGACUCAGAAAUCAACCGACAACAAAGAGGAUAUGAUGAUAAAUACGCAAAUCCGUUCUCAUUCGGACACGGGACUUGACGGAUAACACGAAUUGUGGAGUGUAUGUUUUGGUGCUGCUCAUGCGCCUUCGCCAAGCGUGUGUGCACUUCCAUAUCACCAAACUGGACAUGAAAUUGGAAGCAUUCGAGAUUAACGGAGGCAGUGAUGAGGAUACAGAUAUAGAAGAUAUCAGGAACCGUAUGGAAGUGACAAUGCCAGCCGAUAGCGAGGAUGAUGAUGAGCCGAAACAAUUGCCUACGCAAAUCUUCGAACCCGAUUUCAUCAGUUGCAAGAUGGCCAAACCGCUCGAAAUUGUUGGCGAUGUUAUGAAGAGCAAGGAGAAAGUGUGAGUGAAACCCUGAAACCCUAUCAAUACCAAAAAGUCGAUAUUUUCAGUGUCAUUGUCUCCCAAUGGACUUCUGUUCUGCGUCUCGUGCAAAGACAUUCAAGAAGGAGGCCACGGGUACACAUCUAUCACCGGAGAGGUAGCCAUAAAAGAUCGGCAAGAACGAGUAGACAGCUUCAACCAAGAAAAGGGCGGAGCCCAGGAUAUGCUCCUCUCAUUGACGGCCGGAGGUGUGGGGCUCAAUUUGAUUGGCGGGAAUCAUCUGAUUAUGGUCGAUUUGCACUGGAAUCCUGCACUAGAGCAGCAGGCGUGUGAUCGCAUUUAUCGAAUGGGACAGAAGAAGGAAGUCCAUAUUCAUCGGUAAUAUCUUUUGAAGUUCAAAGUUUCGCUCAUACAAUCUAUUUUAUUUCUUGAAUUGCUAGAAAUUUCUAAAAACAUUUUUACUGUUUAUUUUUAUUUUGAAAUUUCACAAAAAAAUUUGCAGACUCAUCGUGAAGGAAACCAUUGAGCAACGCGUCAUGAGCCUCCAGGAGAAGAAGCUCGCGUUGGCAGCUUCAGUGUUGGAAGGAUCGGCAACUCGUGGAAUGAACAAGCUCACCAACUCAGACAUUCGCACUCUCUUUGGACUCGACGAAGAAUUUGAACUCGACACCUAAUAACUUUUCAUUUUUCUCUGGAUUUUCUUUCCCACUUGUCAUAUUAUUUUAUUCUACCCCCAUCAAUCUCCCCCAUCUAGUGAAAUUUUUCAAGUGUAUCCUACCCAUCCCGACUGAAAUUUAUCAAAAUACCGUUUGAAUGAAAUUAUAGCAUAGAUCAACUUUGCAUGUACUUGUUUUCACCUUUAUCAGAGAUAAGUGCAUUGAUGCAUUCAUUCACCAUAUUUUUCGGUAUGUAGGGACUUUUUUUCAGAAAUUUUCAAAAUCAGAAAAAAAUGUAAAAAAUUUCACUUCUAUUGUACGGAAAUUACGACGCAAGCAAGAUUAAUAUUUUGAUAUCAACCACGCUCUAACGGCUAACAAAAAUACCCCCCCCCCCCCCCCCCCCAUAAAAGUUAGGUUUCGUUAGGCAUUAUCGGUAGGAAUUAUAUUAGAUUCCUUAUCACAAGGUCCGGUUCUCCGUCACUUAAAGGUGUCUACAUUUAUUUCUAUGAAUCUGAAAAGCCAAAUAUCAUAGUGUCAAGUAAAUUGAAAAUUUAAUUUUGAAAGUUCGCCAAGAAUAAAACAACUUUCUACAAUUUAAGCAAAAAAUUGUGUUCCAACAUUGUUGAAGUUCACACAUCAAAACUUGGAAAAAAAACCAAAAUUUCCUCAAAUUUUGACAAUUCUAAAAAAUUCGGUAUGAGAGCUUUCAUACAAAAAAAUUUUCAGAAUUUUACUCUCUGGCUUCACAGAUGCAUAUUGCCUCGAUCAGUUCUCAAACCCAUCCAAUCCAGCCGCGCACUACCGUACCACAGGCCCAGAAAUUUGGAAGCAAACUCAAGGGAAAGUGGAUAUGGUGUGUUUUGGAGUCGGCUCAGGUGGGACGGUUACCGGAGUCGGAAGAUAUCUUCGUGCUCAAAAGCAAAAUAUUGGAGUGUACCCUGUGGAGCCAUUCGAGAGCUCGGUGCUGAGUGGAUUCCCGAGAGGUCCACAUAAGAUUCAUG
rnacentral:sRNA from 1 species